rnacentral:rRNA from 1 species
UGGGGAAUAUUGGACAAUGGGCGAAAGCCUGAUCCAGCAAUACCGCGUGUGUGAAGAAGGCCUGCGGGUUGUAAAGCACUUUCAGUUGGGAAGAUGAUGACGUUACCAACAGAAGAAGCACCGGCUAACUCCGUGCCAGCAGCCGCGGUAAUACGGAGGGUGCAAGCGUUAAUCGGAAUUACUGGGCGUAAAGCGCGCGUAGGCGGCUUCGUCAGUCAGAUGUGAAAGCCCCGGGCUUAACCUGGGAAUUGCAUUUGAUACUGCGGAGCUAGAGUAUGGUAGAGGGUAGUGGAAUUCCAGGUGUAGCGGUGAAAUGCGUAGAUAUCUGGAGGAACAUCAGUGGCGAAGGCGGCUACCUGGACCAAUACUGACGCUGAGGUGCGAAAGCGUGGGGAGCAAACA